rnacentral:rRNA from 1 species
GACGAACGCUGGCGGCGUGCUUAACACAUGCAAGUCGAACGGAAAGGCCCUGCUUGCAGGGUACUCGAGUGGCGAACGGGUGAGUAACACGUGGGUGAUCUGCCCUGCACUUCGGGAUAAGCCUGGGAAACUGGGUCUAAUACCGGAUAGGAGCCAUUUUUAGUGUGAUGGUUGGAAAGUUUUUUCGGUGUAGGAUGAGCUCGCGGCCUAUCAGCUUGUUGGUGGGGUAAUGGCCUACCAAGGCGGCGACGGGUAGCCGGCCUGAGAGGGUGGACGGCCACAUUGGGACUGAGAUACGGCCCAGACUCCUACGGGAGGCAGCAGUGGGGAAUAUUGCACAAUGGGCGCAAGCCUGAUGCAGCGACGCCGCGUGGGGGAGGACGGCCUUCGGGUUGUAAACUCCUUUUGCUAGGGACGAAGCUUUUUGUGACGGUACCUAGAGAAGAAGCACCGGCUAACUACGUG